CUCUUAUUAGUGUUUCUAAAUAAAUUUAUCCAAACAGGUCAUAACACUUUGUCGACCAGUACCUGAUAGCUUCAACAUCAUUUGAAGUGUCCUCUCCACACAUUGGAGGUGCUCUGAAGUUGUCUCAGUGUCUAUCUAAUGGUUAAAUGUCACAAACAUUGAUUUUUCACCUAAGUGUUUGUUGUUUUCCUCCAUUUGCAUAGCUCCGUUGAGGUUGGGUCGAUGUAGGCAUUGUUCCUUCUUUGGAAAUUUUAUUGUUAAGGUUCAUUUUUUGGAAUUCUUAGUUAACUAUUUUCCCUAUUAAGUAAUCCAAAAGGGUAUUGAUGGUAAAAGAAUUCAAAAUAUGCAAUCUAGAAGACUUAUUAAUGUCUUACAGAAUAUGUAUUCCAAAAAAUUAAUUACAAUUUCGAACUAGGCAAUGAAGAAAAGAAACUUCAACCUUUCAAAAUAAUUAUUCCAUUAAUUUUUAACCAUCUUCUAGAUUAUCCAUUGCGGAAUAUGUUUAACAUUUUUGGAAUAAUUAUUCUGAAAGAUUGAAGCUUCUUUUUUGGAUAGUAAUUAGUUUUCUAGAUUGAUCAUUAUGUAAUAGGACUGAAAGCCUUCCAGAUUGUCUUUUCAGAACAAUGUUUGAAAAACAAAUGAUCCGGAAUGUAUAUAAAUACGUUACGUUGCACAACAUGUUCAUUCUGAGUGACUUACCUUCGUCGGUGUCGGGGUGGCUUCAAACAGGUUUGUUGCGCAAGGGAAUGGCGGUGCCUUCAACCACCUGAUGUGUCGCAAGCCUUAGGGAGUCAGGUUGGCGCGCCGCACGACUAAGGUGAAGAAGUGACGGUGGCGCACCGUAGCAGUGAAGGAGUGAGGUCAGGGGGUGCUAGCUAGGGUUAGGGAAGGAGGUGCGCCACUUGAGGUAAUAAGAAGCGCGUGAGAGAUAGGAAUAAUUUUGUCAAGGGGUGCAGGAAGCAAACUGGGAGAUGAGUAAAACAUGUGAACUGCAGCAUCUCUCACAUGUUCUAAUCCAUGCAAUAUCUUACAGGGUUAGAACAAAUCUCUCUCUAUCCUAACUAAAUAUUUGAUAGAAUUGUUUAUCUGGAUUCAAAUUUAAUAAUAUACGAGAGUUCAGUCAUGAUUGGAUUAAUUCGAUACAUUAAUAUAAUAUAUCAAUUAUUAUAACAUUAAGAUAAAUAUAACAUGUAAAUAUAAUAUCAUGUUAUUGAAAACAUAAUAGUAUUAUCUCAGGGAAUUAC
rnacentral:lncRNA from 1 species